UACAGAGGGGGGCAAGCGUUGUUCGGAAUUACUGGGCGUAAAGGGCGCGUAGGCGGCCUUCUAAGUCGAACGUGAAAUCCCCGGGCUCAACCCGGGAACUGCGUCCGAUACUGGAAGGCUUGAAUCCGGGAGAGGGAUGCGGAAUUCCAGGUGUAGCGGUGAAAUGCGUAGAUAUCUGGAGGAACACCGGUGGCGAAGGCGAGUCCCUGGACAGGUCCUGACGCUGAGGCACGAAAGCUAGGGGAGCAAACAGG
rnacentral:rRNA from 1 species